UACGGAGGAGGCAAGCGUUAUCCGGAAUUAUUGGGCGUAAAGCGUCCGCAGGUGGCUAUUCAAGUCUGCGGUCAAAGACUGGGGCUUAACCCUGGAAAGGCCGUGGAAACUGAAGAGCUAGAGUGCAGUAGGGGUAGAGGGAAUUCCCGGUGUAGCGGUGAAAUGCGUAGAGCUCGGGAAGAACACCCGUGGCGAAGGCGGUUCUCUGGGACGGUACUGACGCUGAGACGCGAAAGCGUGGGGAGCGAACAGG
rnacentral:rRNA from 1 species